rnacentral:rRNA from 1 species
GACGAACGCUGGCGGCGUGCCUAAUACAUGCAAGUAGAACGCUGAAGAGAGGAGCUUGCUCUUCUUGGAUGAGUUGCGAACGGGUGAGUAACGCGUAGGUAACCUGCCUUGUAGCGGGGGAUAACUAUUGGAAACGAUAGCUAAUACCGCAUAACAAUGGAUGACACAUGUCAUUUAUUUGAAAGGGGCAAUUGCUCCACUACAAGAUGGACCUGCGUUGUAUUAGCUAGUAGGUGAGGUAAUGGCUCACCUAGGCGACGAUACAUAGCCGACCUGAGAGGGUGGUCGGCCACACUGGGACUGGGACACGGCCCAGACUCCUACGGGAGGCAGCAGUAGGGAAUCUUCGGCAAUGGGGGCAACCCUGACCGAGCAACGCCGCGUGAGUGAAGAAGGGUGUCGGAUCGUAAAGCUCUGUUGUAAGUCAAGAACGGGUGUGAGAGUGGAAAGUUCACACUGUGACGGUAGCUUACCAGAAAGGGACGGCUAACUACGUG